rnacentral:rRNA from 1 species
GACGAACGCUGGCGGCGCGCUUAACACAUGCAAGUCGAACGGGGUUCACUCCUUCGGGGUGGAUUCAGUGGCGAACGGGUGCGUAACACGUGAGCAACCUGCCCUCAGGUGGGGGAUAACCCGGGGAAACCCGGGCUAAUACCGCAUACGAUCUCCGGGCCGAUUGACCUGGAGAGGAAAGCUCCUGCAAGGGAGCGCCGGAAGAGGGGCUCGCGGCGUAUCAGGUAGAUGGUGGGGUAACGGCUCACCAUGCCGACGACGCGUAGCCGAUCUGAGAGGAUGAUCGGCCACAUUGGGACUGAGAUACGGCCCAGACUCCUACGGGAGGCAGCAGUGGGGAAUCUUGCGCAAUGGGCGAAAGCCUGACGCAGCGACGCCGCGUGCGGGAGGAAGCUC